AGCAGCCGCGGUAAUUCCAGCUCCAAUAGCGUAUAUUAAAGUUGUUGCAGUUAAAAAGCUCGUAGUUGAAUUUCGAGAUCAGUACGCUGGUCGUGCCUUUGGUAUGCACUGGUGUCACUGGUUUCUCCCUUCUGAAGAACUGUCAUGCCAUUCAGUUGGUGUGGCGGGGAAUCAGGACUGUUACUUUGAAAAAAUUAGAGUGUUUAAAGCAGGCUUGCGCUUGAAUACAUUAGCAUGGAAUAAUGAAAUAGGACGUUCGACCCUAUUUUGUUGGUUUCUAGGAUCGACGUAAUGAUUAAUAGGGAUAGUUGGGGGCAUUAGUAUUCAAUUGUCAGAGGUGAAAUUCUUGGAUUUAUUGAAGACUAACUACUGCGAAAGCAUUUGCCAAGGAUGUUUUCACUAAUCAAGAACGAAAGUUAGGGGAUCGAAGACGAUCAGAUACCGUCGUAGUCUUAACCAUAAACUAUGCCGACUAGGGAUCGGAUGAUGUUAAUUUUUAAUGACUCU
rnacentral:rRNA from 1 species